CCUACGGGUGGCUGCAGUGGGGAAUAUUGGACAAUGGGCGAAAGCCUGAUCCAGCCAUGCCGCGUGUGUGAAGAAGGCCUUCGGGUUGUAAAGCACUUUCAGUGGGGAAGAAAGCCUUGGGGCUAAUACCCUCGAGGAAGGACAUCACCCACAGAAGAAGCACCGGCUAACUCCGUGCCAGCAGCCGCGGUAAUACGGAGGGUGGGAGCGUUAAUCGGAAUUACUGGGCGUAAAGCGCGCGUAGGCGGUCUGAUAAGCCGGUUGUGAAAGCCCCGGGCUCAACCUGGGAACGGCAUCCGGAACUGUCAGGCUAGAGUGCAGGAGAGGAAGGUAGAAUUCCCGGUGUAGCGGUGAAAUGCGUAGAGAUCGGGAGGAAUACCAGUGGCGAAGGCGGCCUUCUGGACUGACACUGACGCUGAGGUGCGAAAGCGUGGGUAGCAAACAGGAUUAGAUACCCGGGUAGUC
rnacentral:rRNA from 1 species